AUGAACGCUAGCUACAGGCUUAACACAUGCAAGUCGAGGGGCAGCAUGGUCUUAGCUUGCUAAGGCUGAUGGCGACCGGCGCACGGGUGAGUAACACGUAUCCAACCUGCCGUCUACUCUUGGCCAGCCUUCUGAAAGGAAGAUUAAUCCAGGAUGGGAUCAUGAGUUCACAUGUCCGCAUGAUUAAAGGUAUUUUCCGGUAGACGAUGGGGAUGCGUUCCAUUAGAUAGUAGGCGGGGUAACGGCCCACCUAGUCAACGAUGGAUAGGGGUUCUGAGAGGAAGGUCCCCCACAUUGGAACUGAGACACGGUCCAAACUCCUACGGGAGGCAGCAGUGAGGAAUAUUGGUCAAUGGGCGAUGGCCUGAACCAGCCAAGUAGCGUGAAGGAUGACUGCCCUAUGGGUUGUAAACUUCUUUUAUAAAGGAAUAAAGUCGGGUAUGCAUACCCGUUUGCAUGUACUUUAUGAAUAAGGAUCGGCUAACUCCGUGCCAGCAGCCGCGGUAAUACGGAGGAUCCGAGCGUUAUCCGGAUUUAUUGGGUUUAAAGGGAGCGUAGAUGGAUGUUUAAGUCAGUUGUGAAAGUUUGCGGCUCAACCGUAAAAUUGCAGUUGAUACUGGAUGUCUUGAGUGCAGUUGAGGCAGGCGGAAUUCGUGGUGUAGCGGUGAAAUGCUUAGAUAUCACGAAGAACUCCGAUUGCGAAGGCAGCCUGCUAAGCUGCAACUGACAUUGAGGCUCGAAAGUGUGGGUAUCAAACAGGAUUAGAUACCCUGGUAGUCCACACGGUAAACGAUGAAUACUCGCUGUUUGCGAUAUACGGCAAGCGGCCAAGCGAAAGCGUUAAGUAUUCCACCUGGGGAGUACGCCGGCAACGGUGAAACUCAAAGGAAUUGACGGGGGCCCGCACAAGCAGCGGAGCAUGUGGUUUAAUUCGACGCAACGCGAAGAACCUUACCAGGUCUUGACAUUGAUCGCGAUCUGCAGAAAUGCGGAGUUCUUCUUCGGAAGACGAGAAAACAGGUGGUGCACGGCUGUCGUCAGCUCGUGUCGUGAGAUGUUGGGUUAAGUCCCGCAACGAGCGCAACCCCUAUCUUCAGUAGCCAGCGGUUCGGCCGGGCACUCUGGAGAGACUGCCAGGGAUAACCUGGAGGAAGGUGGGGAUGACGUCAAAUCAGCACGGCCCUUACGUCCGGGGCUACACACGUGUUACAAUGGGGGGUACAGAGGGCCGCUACCACGCGAGUGGAUGCCAAUCCCUAAAACCCCUCUCAGUUCGGACUGGAGUCUGCAACCCGACUCCACGAAGCUGGAUUCGCUAGUAAUCGCGCAUCAGCCACGGCGCGGUGAAUACGUUCCCGGGCCUUGUACACACCGCCCGUCAAGCCAUGGGAGCCGGGGGUACCUGAAGUGCGUAACCGCGAGGAUCGCCCUAGGGUAAAACUGGUGACUGGGGCU
rnacentral:rRNA from 1 species